rnacentral:rRNA from 1 species
GUGGGGAAUUUUGGACAAUGGGCGCAAGCCUGAUCCAGCAAUGCCGCGUGCAGGAAGAAGGCCUUCGGGUUGUAAACUGCUUUUGUACGGAACGAAACGGUCCGGGUUAAUACCCUGGGCUAAUGACGGUACCGUAAGAAUAAGCACCGGCUAACUACGUGCCAGCAGCCGCGGUAAUACGUAGGGUGCAAGCGUUAAUCGGAAUUACUGGGCGUAAAGCGUGCGCAGGCGGUUUUGUAAGACAGGCGUGAAAUCCCCGGGCUCAACCUGGGAAUUGCGCUUGUGACUGCAAGGCUGGAGUGCGGCAGAGGGGGAUGGAAUUCCGCGUGUAGCAGUGAAAUGCGUAGAUAUGCGGAGGAACACCGAUGGCGAAGGCAAUCCCCUGGGCCUGCACUGACGCCCAUGCACGAAAGCGUGGGGAGCAAACAGGAUUAGAUACCCCGGUAGUCC